GAUUGAACGCUGGCGGCAGGCCUAACACAUGCAAGUCGAGCGGAUGACGGGAGCUUGCUCCUGGAUUCAGCGGCGGACGGGUGAGUAAUGCCUAGGAAUCUGCCUGGUAGUGGGGGAUAACGUCCGGAAACGGGCGCUAAUACCGCAUACGUCCUGAGGGAGAAAGUGGGGGAUCUUCGGACCUCACGCUAUCAGAUGAGCCUAGGUCGGAUUAGCUAGUUGGUGGGGUAAAGGCCUACCAAGGCGACGAUCCGUAACUGGUCUGAGAGGAUGAUCAGUCACACUGGAACUGAGACACGGUCCAGACUCCUACGGGAGGCAGCAGUGGGGAAUAUUGGACAAUGGGCGAAAGCCUGAUCCAGCCAUGCCGCGUGUGUGAAGAAGGUCUUCGGAUUGUAAAGCACUUUAAGUUGGGAGGAAGGGCAGUAAGUUAAUACCUUGCUGUUUUGACGUUACCAACAGAAUAAGCACCGGCUAACUUCGUG
rnacentral:rRNA from 1 species